rnacentral:rRNA from 1 species
AAUAGAUACCCAGGUAGUCCACGCCGUAAACGAUGAGUGCUAAGUGUUAGGGGGUUUCCGCCCCUUAGUGCUGCAGCUGACGCAUUAAGCACUCCGCCUGGGGAGUACGGCCGCAAGGCUGAAACUCAAAGGAAUUGACGGGGGCCCGCACAAGCGGUGGAGCAUGUGGUUUAAUUCGAAGCAACGCGAAGAACCUUACCAGGUCUUGACAUCUCCUGACCGCCCUGGAGACAGGGUCUUCCCUUCGGGGACAGGAUGACAGGUGGUGCAUGGUUGUCGUCAGCUCGUGUCGUGAGAUGUUGGGUUAAGUCCCGCAACGAGCGCAACCCUUGUCCUUAGUUGCCAGCAUUCAGUUGGGCACUCUAAGGAGACUGCCGGCUAAAAGUCGGAGGAAGGUGGGGAUGACGUCAAAUCAUCAUGCCCCUUAUGACCUGGGCUACACACGUGCUACAAUGGGCGGUACAGAGGGUCGCGAACCCGCGAGGGGGAGCCAAUCCCAAAAAACCGCUCUCAGUUCGGAUUGCAGGCUGC